rnacentral:rRNA from 1 species
CGCUUUGCGCGACAGCGCAAAGGCAGGCGGUUUCGCGUAGCGAAAGCGAAUGCUUUGGGGUGGGGUGACUGCGUACCUUUUGUAUAAUGGGUCAGCGACUUAUAUUCUGUAGCAAGGUUAACCGAAUAGGGGAGCCGGAGGGAAACCGAGUCUUAAUUGGGCGUUAAGUUGCAGGGUAUAGACCCGAAACCCGGUGAUCUAGCCAUGGGCAGGUUGAAGGUUGGGUAACACUAACUGGAGGACCGAACCGACUAAUGUUGAAAAAUUAGCGGAUGACCUGUGGCUGGGGGUGAAAGGCCAAUCAAACCGGGAGAUAGCUGGUUCUCCCCGAAAGCUAUUUAGGUAGCGCCUCGUGAAUUCAUCUCCGGGGGUAGAGCACUGUUUCGGCUAGGGGGCCAUCCCGGCUUACCAACCCGAUGCAAACUGCGAAUACCGGAGAAUGUUAUCACGGGAGACACACGGCGGGUGCUAACGUCCGUCGUGAAGAGGGAAACAACCCAGACCGCCAGCUAAGGUCCCAAAGUCAUGGUUAAGUGGGAAACGAUGUGGGAAGGCCCAGACAGCCAGGAUGUUGGCUUAGAAGCAGCCAUCAUUUAAAGAAAGCGUAAUAGCUCACUGGUCGAGUCGGCCUGCGCGGAAGAUGUAACGGGGCUAAACCAUGCACCGAAGCUGCGGCAGCGACACUGUGUGUUGUUGGGUAGGGGAGCGUUCUGUAAGCCUGUGAAGGUGUGUCGUGAGGCAUGCUGGAGGUAUCAGAAGUGCGAAUGCUGACAUAAGUAACGAUAAAGCGGGUGAAAAGCCCGCUCGCCGGAAGACCAAGGGUUCCUGUCCAACGUUAAUCGGGGCAGGGUGAGUCGACCCCUAAGGCGAGGCCGAAAGGCGUAGUCGAUGGGAAACGGGUUAAUAUUCCCGUACUUGGUGUUACUGCGAAGGGGGGACGGAGAAGGCUAUGUUGGCCGGGCGACGGUUGUCCCGGUUUAAGCGUGUAGGUGUGUGUUCUAGGUAAAUCCGGUUCACUUUAACACUGAGGCGUGACGACGAGGCACUACGGUGCUGAAGCAACAAAUGCCCUGCUUCCAGGAAAAGCCUCUAAGCAUCAGGUAACAUCAAAUCGUACCCCAAACCGACACAGGUGGUCAGGUAGAGAAUACCAAGGCGCUUGAGAGAACUCGGGUGAAGGAACUAGGCAAAAUGGUGCCGUAACUUCGGGAGAAGGCACGCUGACACGUAGGUGAAGUGAUUUACUCAUGGAGCUGAAGUCAGUCGAAGAUACCAGCUGGCUGCAACUGUUUAUUAAAAACACAGCACUGUGCAAACACGAAAGUGGACGUAUACGGUGUGACGCCUGCCCGGUGCCGGAAGGUUAAUUGAUGGGGUCAGCGCAAGCGAAGCUCCUGAUCGAAGCCCCGGUAAACGGCGGCCGUAACUAUAACGGUCCUAAGGUAGCGAAAUUCCUUGUCGGGUAAGUUCCGACCUGCACGAAUGGCGUAAUGAUGGCCAGGCUGUCUCCACCCGAGACUCAGUGAAAUUGAACUCGCUGUGAAGAUGCAGUGUACCCGCGGCAAGACGGAAAGACCCCGUGAACCUUUACUAUAGCUUGACACUGAACAUUGAGCCUUGAUGUGUAGGAUAGGUGGGAGGCUUUGAAGUGUGGACGCCAGUCUGCAUGGAGCCGACCUUGAAAUACCACCCUUUAAUGUUUGAUGUUCUAACGUGGACCCGUUACCCGGGUUGCGGACAGUGUCUGGUGGGUAGUUUGACUGGGGCGGUCUCCUCC